ACUUAUUUAAUAUAUAAAGUAUAUUUAACUUCCAAUUAAAAAGACUAUUAAUAAUAGAAUAAGUA
rnacentral:tRNA from 1 species